UUCAUUGGGCGUAAAGGGUGCGUAGGCGGCGCGGUAAGUCGGGUGUGAAAUCUCGGAGCUUAACUCCGAAACUGCAUUCGAUACUGCCGUGCUUGAGGACUGGAGAGGAGACUGGAAUUUACGGUGUAGCGGUGAAAUGCGUAGAUAUCGUAAGGAAGACCAGUGGCGAAGGCGGGUCUCUGGACAGUUCCUGACGCUGAGGCACGAAGGCCAGGGGAGCAAACGGG
rnacentral:rRNA from 1 species